rnacentral:tRNA from 1 species
GAGGGUACAGCUCAAGUGGCAGAGCACAGGCCUAGCAUGCACGAGGCCCUGGGUUCAACCCCCAGUACCUCCU